UUCAGUUGCACUGGGAGUUGAUAAACCUAUGUGACUAGACACUGGAACAAUGAAUACGACGGGAUGAAUCUGAUUUCACUUCAGUGAAUCUCGAUUCACUGAAAUGAAUCUACUUCAGUGAAUCUUGAUUCACAUCAUUGAAUCGAGAUUCACUGUAGUGAAUCUCCGUUCAUCCAUG